rnacentral:rRNA from 1 species
AGAGUUUGAUCCUGGCUCAGGACGAACGCUGGCGGCGCGCCUAACACAUGCAAGUCGAACGAGAGAUGAGGAGCUUGCUCUUCAGAUCGAGUGGCGAACGGGUGAGUAACGCGUGAGGAACCUGCCUCAAAGAGGGGGACAACAGUUGGAAACGACUGCUAAUACCGCAUAAGCCCACGGCUCAGCAUCGAGCAGAGGGAAAAGGAGCAAUCCGCUUUGAGAUGGCCUCGCGUCCGAUUAGCUAGUUGGUGAGGUAACGGCCCACCAAGGCGACGAUCGGUAGCCGGACUGAGAGGUUGAACGGCCACAUUGGGACUGAGACGCGGCCCAGACUCCUACGGGAGGCAGCAGUGGGGAAUAUUGCACAAUGGGGGAAACCCUGAUGCAGCGACGCCGCGUGGAGGAAGAAGGUCUUCGGAUUGUAAACUCCUGUUGUUGAGGAAGAUAAUGACGGUACUCAACAAGGAAGUGACGGCUAACUACGUGCCAGCAGCCGCGGUAAAACGUAGGUCACAAGCGUGUCCGGAAUUACUGGGUGUAAAGGGAGCGCAGGCGGAGAACAAGUUGGAAGUGAAAUCCAUGGGCUCAACCCAUGAACUGCUUUCAAAACUGUUUUUCUUGAGUAGUGCAGAGGUAGGCGGAAUUCCCGGUGUAGCGGUGGAAUGCGUAGAUAUCGGGAGGAACACCAGUGGCGAAGGCGGCCUACUGGGCACCAACUGACGCUGAGGCUCGAAAGUGUGGGUAGCAAACAGGAUUAGAUACCCUGGUAGUCCACACCGUAAACGAUGAUUACUAGGUGUUGGAGGAUUGACCCCUUCAGUGCCGCAGUUAACACAAUAAGUAAUCCACCUGGGGAGUACGACCGCAAGGUUGAAACUCAAAGGAAUUGACGGGGGCCCGCACAAGCAGUGGAGUAUGUGGUUUAAUUCGACGCAACGCGAAGAACCUUACCAAGUCUUGACAUCCUGCGACACACAUAGAAAUAUGUGUUUCCUUCGGGACGCAGAGACAGGUGGUGCAUGGUUGUCGUCAGCUCGUGUCGUGAGAUGUUGGGUUAAGUCCCGCAACGAGCGCAACCCUUAUGGUCAGUUACUACGCAAGAGGACUCUGGCCAGACUGCCGUUGACAAAACGGAGGAAGGUGGGGAUGACGUCAAAUCAUCAUGCCCUUUAUGACUUGGGCUACACACGUACUACAAUGGCGUUAAACAAAGAGAAGCAAGACCGCGAGGUGGAGCAAAACUCAGAAACAACGUCCCAGUUCGGACUGCAGGCUGCAACUCGCCUGCACGAAGUCGGAAUUGCUAGUAAUCGUGGAUCAGCAUGCCACGGUGAAUACGUUCCCGGGCCUUGCACACACCGCCCGUC